rnacentral:rRNA from 1 species
UUGUGGUUAAAAAGCUCGUAGUUGGAUCUCAGCAGUUUGAGGUUGGUGUACUUGCUAGUAUUACUGCCCUAUAGACUGUAGUUUUGCCAGAGGUAGUUGGGUGCUCUUAAUCGAGUGUCCUAUUAUGCUGGCAGGUUUACUUUGAAAAAAUUAGAGUGCUCAAAGCAGGCUAUUACGUCUGAAUAUUCGUGCAUGGAAUAAUAGAAUAGGAAGUCGUUUCUAUUUUGUUGGUUUUUAAGUUUCGACUUAAUGAUUAAUAGGGACAAACGGGGGCAUUAGUAUUCAAGCGACAGAGGUGAAAUUCUUGGACCGCUUGAAGACUAACUACUGCGAAAGCAUUUGCCAAGAGUGUUUUCAUUAAUCAAGAACGAAAGUUAGAGGUUCGAAGGCGAUUAGAUACCGCCCUAGUUCUAACCAUAAACGAUGCCAGCUAGCGAUCUGCCGACGUUUUUUUUGUAGACUCGGCAGGAAGCUUCCGGGAAACCAAAGCAUUUGGGUUCCAGGGGAAGUAUGGUUGCAAAGCUGAAACUUAAAGGAAUUGACGGAAGGGCACCACCAGGAGUGGAGCCUGUGGCUUAAUUUGACUCAACACGGGAAAUCUCACCAGGCCCGGACACUGGAAGGAUUGACAGAUUGAUAGCUCUU